rnacentral:rRNA from 1 species
UACGAACUGUGCGAACGUUAUUCGGAAUCACUGGGCUUACAGGGUGCGUAGGCGGCUAUUCAGGUCAGGUGUGAAAGCCCCCGGCUCAACUGGGGAGGGUCACGCGAUACUGGUCGACUCGAAGGCAGGAGAGGGUAGUGGAAUUCCCGGUGUAGUGGUGAAAUGCGUAGAUAUCGGGAGGAACACCAGUGGCGAAGGCGACUACCUGGUCUGUUCUUGACGCUGAGGCGCGAAAGCUAGGGGAGCAAACGGG